AAAACUUAGUCUCAGUUCGGAUUGUAGGCUGAAACUCGCCUACAUGAAGCUGGAGUUGCUAGUAAUCGCGAAUCAGCAUGUCGCGGUGAAUACGUUCCCGGGCCUUGUACACACCGCCCGUCACACCAUGAGAGUUGGCAAUACCCAACGUACGUGAUCUAACCCGCAAGGGAGGAAGCGUCCUAAGGUAGGGUCAGCGAUUGGGGUGAAGUCGUAACAAGGUACC
rnacentral:rRNA from 1 species